AGCCUGAUGCAGCAACGCCGCGUGAGGGAUGACGGCCUUCGGGUUGUAAACCUCUUUUGGUAGGGAAGAAGCCUUCGGGUGACGGUACCUGCAGAAAAAGCGCCGGCUAACUACGUGCCAGCAGCCGCGGUAAUACGUAGGGCGCAAGCGUUAUCCGGAAUUAUUGGGCGUAAAGAGCUCGUAGGCGGUCUGUCGCGUCUGCUGUGAAAUCCCGAGGCUCAACCUCGGGCUUGCAGUGGGUACGGGCAGACUAGAGUGCGGUAGGGGAGAUUGGAAUUCCUGGUGUAGCGGUGGAAUGCGCAGAUAUCAGGAGGAACACCGAUGGCGAAGGCAGAUCUCUGGGCCGUUACUGACGCUGAGGAGCGAAAGGGUGGGGAGCAAACAGGCUUAGAUACCCUGGUAGUCCACCCCGUAAACGUUGGGAACUAGUUGUGGGGUCCUUUCCACGGAUUCCGUGACGUAGCUAACGCAUUAAGUUCCCCGCCUGG
rnacentral:rRNA from 1 species